GUCGAGCGGUAACAGGUGUAGCAAUACAUGCUGACGAGCGGCGAACGGGUGAGUAAUGCUUCGGAAUCUACCCAAUGGUGUGGAAUAACCAGCCGAAAGGUUGGCUAAUACCGCAUGAGCCCUACGGGGGAAAGCAGGGGAUCGUAAGACCUUGCGCCGAUGGAUGAGCCGAAGCCGGAUUAGCUAGUUGGUAGGGUAACGGCCUACCAAGGCGACGAUCCGUAGCUGGUCUGAGAGGACGACCAGCCACACUGGGACUGAGACACGGCCCAGACUCCUACGGGAGGCAGCAGUGGGGAAUAUUGGACAAUGGGGGCAACCCUGAUCCAGCGACGCCGCGUGUGUGAAGAAGGCCUGCGGGUUGUAAAGCACUUUUAGUGGGGAUGAAAAGCUCAGGGAUAAUACCCUUGGGUCUUGACCUAACCCACAGAAAAAGCACCGGCUAACUCUGUGCCAGCAGCCGCGGUAAUACAGAGGGUGCGAGCGUUAAUCGGAAUUACUGGGCGUAAAGCGUGCGUAGACGGUUAUGUAAGUCGGGUGUGAAAGCCCCGGGCUCAACCUGGGAAUUGCAUUCGAGACUGCAUAGCUAGGGUGCGGAAGAGGGAAGCGGAAUUUCCGGUGUAGCGGUGAAAUGCGUAGAUAUCGGAAGGAACACCAGUGGCGAAAGCGGCUUCCUGGUCCAGCACCGACGUUCA
rnacentral:rRNA from 1 species